AUAUCAAUAAGCGGAGGAAAAGAAACCAACAGGGAUUGCCCCAGUAACGGCGAGUGAAGCGGCAACAGCUCAAAUUUGAAAUCUGGCCCCUAGGGUCCGAGUUGUAAUUUGUAGAGGAUGCUUUUGGUGAGGUGCCGCCCGAGUUCCCUGGAACGGGACGCCGCAGAGGGUGAGAGCCCCGUCUGGCUGGCCACCGAGCCUCUGUAAAGCUCCUUCGACGAGUCGAGUAGUUUGGGAAUGCUGCUCAAAAUGGGAGGUAUAUGUCUUCUAAAGCUAAAUAUUGGCCAGAGACCGAUAGCGCACAAGUAGAGUGAUCGAAAGAUGAAAAGCACCUUGAAAAGAGGGUUAAACAGUACGUGAAAUUGUUGAAAGGGAAGCGCUUGUGACCAGACUUGGGCGCGGCGGAUCAUCCGGGGUUCUCCCCGGUGCACUUCGCCGUGUUCAGGCCAGCAUCAGUUCGGCGCGGGGGAAAAAGGCUUCGGGAACGUGGCUCCUCCGGGAGUGUUAUAGCCCGUUGCAUAAUACCCUGCGCUGGACUGAGGACCGCGCAUCUGCAAGGAUGCUGGCGUAAUGGUCACCAGCGACCCGUCUUGAAACACGGACCAAGGAGUCGUCUUCGUAUGCGAGUGUUCGGGUGUCAAACCCCUACGCGUAAUGAAAGUGAACGCAGGUGAGAGCUUCGGCGCAUCAUCGACCGAUCCUGAUGUUCUCGGAUGGAUUUGAGUAAGAGCAUACGGGGCCGGACCCGAAAGAAGGUGAACUAUGCCUGUAUAGGGUGAAGCCAGAGGAAACUCUGGUGGAGGCUCGCAGCGGUUCUGACGUGCAAAUCGAUCGUCAAAUAUGGGCAUGGGGGCGAAAGACUAAUCGAACCUUCUAGUAGCUGGUUUCCGC
rnacentral:rRNA from 2 species